CGAUGAACUCCAGCUUGCUGGGGGGAUUAGUGGCGAACGGGUGAGUAACACGUGAGUAACCUGCCCUUGACUCUGGGAUAAGCGCUGGAAACGGCGUCUAAUACCGGAUACGAGCUUCAGCCGCAUGGCUAGGAGUUGGAAAGAAUUUCGGUCAAGGAUGGACUCGCGGCCUAUCAGCUAGUUGGUGAGGUAAUGGCUCACCAAGGCGACGACGGGUAGCCGGCCUGAGAGGGUGACCGGCCACACUGGGACUGAGACACGGCCCAGACUCCUACGGGAGGCAGCAGUGGGGAAUAUUGCACAAUGGGCGAAAGCCUGAUGCAGCAACGCCGCGUGAGGGAUGACGGCCUUCGGGUUGUAAACCUCUUUUAGUAGGGAAGAAGCGAAAGUGACGGUACCUGCAGAAAAAGCACCGGCUAACUACGUGCCAGCAGCCGCGGUAAUACGUAGGGUGCAAGCGUUGUCCGGAAUUAUUGGGCGUAAAGAGCUCGUAGGCGGUUUGUCGCGUCUGCUGUGAAAUCUGGGGGCUCAACCCCCAGCCUGCAGUGCGUACGGGCAGACUAGAGUGCGGUAGGGGAGAUUGGAAUUCCUGGUGUAGCGGUGGAAUGCGCAGAUAUCAGGAGGAACACCGAUGG
rnacentral:rRNA from 1 species